CGAGCCAGCCUCGUUUCCGGGGAUAUUAAUUAAAACGGGGAAGGAAAUGGAGAAAAAAAGAGGGGAGGGAGGGGGGAAAAAAAGGAAGAAAGAAAAAAAGGGAAACGGAGACAAAAACAUUUACGGGACGGCGAAAAAUUUCCCCAUUGUAUCCGGGCAAAGGGCGAGUCGAACGGCGGCGAUACAGAGUUUUCGUCGAACGUGUUCGUUGCGAAUGACAACCCCCUGUGUCGUGCACACGACAGAUGCAGCGAACAAUAUGGCUCGACGUGUGCGCGCGUAGUCGGUUUUGAUUUCGGUGUUAUUAUGCCCACGGUCAGGUAUAACGCACGGCAGAGAACGUGUCAGCCGUCGAUCCGUCGUUAUUCCGUGCUCCUGAGAGGCCCUGCAACGCUGCUCGCAAAAUUGAUCUGCAACGUUACAUGCGACCGACGUAUACCUCUCGCGAUACACUCGAACGCUGCAUUUCCGCUGCUCGACCCCUACCAUUUAUGAAAUUUUCCGCGCCCCAUUUUUCUCCACCACCCUCUUCGUUUCACUUCCACCAUCGAUUUUCCCGUUUCCGAAAUUUUUAUCCCGGGACGAGUAUAACGUUGGCGUGUGAAAUCGUUGUGCGUGCUCGAUUGGGGAGAGCUACAAAUAUUUCGGACGGUUAUAAAAAUUUGAUACGACGAAAAGUAUAAUAUAAUGUAUUAUAAAGAACAAAAUUAUAAAGAGAUAUAUUUCAUGGAUCUUUCUAUAUAUAUAUAUAUAUAUAAGUUUCGAGUUUCGAAUAUUUUUAUCGUGAAUACAAAAAAUGUUAUAAAUAACUUCGAGAUCGAAGGGGGGAAAAGUGGUGGAAAAUUAGGACGGUGUAAAGUUAGACGGCGCCUAAAUUUAUCCACGAGAAUUAUCGAAAGAAAUUGGAUUUCAAAUUUACGACCGCUCUUUGUUCCGCCCUGUAUCAUCCUAUAUCGCUCCACCCUCCCCGACUUAUCAAAAUUUCAAAUAAGAAACAUCGUUUUUCCGCGGCCGCUCUCAUGAAAGUAAGCCAUCCCUCGAACUGGGGAAAGGAAAAGAGUGAAGGAAAGGGCGGAAAAAAACGAUGUUGCAUCCUCCCCUCCCUUGAACGAUAGCCUCCUCCAUCUGGGCAUCGACCUAAUCAGAUGGUAAGAAGCGGAUGCACCAUCUCGUGGAACUUGGCAGUGCGUUCACUAGGGUUCGCCAGUCGUUGGUCCAGGCCAGCAUCCCCUGCGCGACGCUCGCCCAUCCUGUCGGAGGAGUCACGAACUACAUUCGGGGUUGCGGAUAGUACACCCUGUGCGCAGGCCGUCCGCAAACAAUAGACGCGUGCGUGAUCCGUGUGUGUGUGAAACAGUCUGCGGACGAUAAUUUCAUUAAGUAAAAAUGUAUCGUCUGAAGUGACGAAAAAAAGGAAGACGGGUGGAUCGGAUCGAGUGCAUGCCGAUUGAAUAACAGAUACGUAAUACGAAUGAAUGAUCGAUGAAGGAAUGAAGGAAUUGAGCGAAGGAAAACAUCUGGAAGCGUAAUAUGGCUGGGAUUGGCGUCGUUUGACUCGUAAACAGUGAUUUAUCUAUCUUUUAAAUCGGACAGAAAAAUCGACUCGAGGAAUAAAAGAGGAGUAGAACAGGAAAUAUAUCGCGAUCGAUCGGUGUCGAUCGUUGUUUCUUCGGAUUGUUCGUUCGGAUCGAGGAAAGAUCGGAGGGAUGGCCGGUUACACGGUUGUGCGCAAAAAAUUUUGCUGAUCCUCGCUGCAUUCGGGGGGAUCCUGCGCCGUGCAUGACCGGCGGCGGAAAGAAAUUUGUCGAAACCGACUUCGUUCAUCCUUGCCACCUCUGGAAUAGGAGAAAAAUUACGAUUGAAGCGGGGAUAAGAGUUGCGAAAUGAGAUCCUACGACGGUGAGAGCAGCUCUACGGAGGACGAUGAUAGAAGAGAGGGUCUUCCAGAGGCGCACUUGCAGCAAGGAUCCUGGCAACGUUCGGCUUCCCACCCUACAUGGGCUUGGGAACAUCGUACCGCUGUAAAUACUGUCCAUUAUAUAUGUAACUAGCAUACGUUUUUUAAAAAAUUCUGAA